rnacentral:rRNA from 2 species
AUGUUAGCGGCGGACGGGUGAGUAACACGUGGGCAACCUACCUGUAAGACUGGGAUAACUCCGGGAAACCGGGGCUAAUACCGGAUAACCCGUUCCUCCUCAUGGAGGGACGGUAAAAGAUGGCUUCUUGCUAUCACUUACAGAUGGGCCCGCGGCGCAUUAGCUAGUUGGUAAGGUAAUGGCUUACCAAGGCGACGAUGCGUAGCCGACCUGAGAGGGUGAUCGGCCACACUGGGACUGAGACACGGCCCAGACUCCUACGGGAGGCAGCAGUAGGGAAUCUUCCGCAAUGGACGAAAGUCUGACGGAGCAACGCCGCGUGAGUGAUGAAGGUUUUCGGAUCGUAAAGCUCUGUUGUUAGGGAAGAACAAGUGCCGUUCAAAUAGGGCGGCACCUUGACGGUACCUAACCAGAAAGCCACGGCUAACUACGUGCCAGCAGCCGCGGUAAUACGUAGGUGGCAAGCGUUGUCCGGAAUUAUUGGGCGUAAAGCGCGCGCAGGCGGUCUUUUAAGUCUGAUGUGAAAGCCCACGGCUCAACCGUGGAGGGUCAUUGGAAACUGGGAGACUUGAGUACAGAAGAGGAGAGUGGAAUUCCACGUGUAGCGGUGAAAUGCGUAGAUAUGUGGAGGAACACCAGUGGCGAAGGCGACUCUCUGGUCUGUAACUGACGCUGAGGCGCGAAAGCGUGGGGAGCAAACAGGAUUAGAUACCCUGGUAGUCCACGCCGUAAACGAUGAGUGCUAGGUGUUAGGGGUUUCGAUGCCCUUAGUGCCGAAGUUAACACAUUAAGCACUCCGCCUGGGGAGUACGACCGCAAGGUUGAAACUCAAAGGAAUUGACGGGGGCCCGCACAAGCAGUGGAGCAUGUGGUUUAAUUCGAAGCAACGCGAAGAACCUUACCAGGUCUUGACAUCCUUUGACCACCCUAGAGAUAGGGCUUUCCCCUUCGGGGGACAAAGUGACAGGUGGUGCAU